rnacentral:tRNA from 2 species
GCCCGGGUGGCUUAGCUGGACAUAGCGCCGCACUCAUAGUAUGCGGAGAUCGUGGGUUCGGAGCCCACCCCGGGCA